GGGUAGCCGGCCUGAGAGGGCGACCGGCCACACUGGGACUGAGACACGGCCCAGACUCCUACGGGAGGCAGCAGUGGGGAAUAUUGCACAAUGGGCGAAAGCCUGAUGCAGCGACGCCGCGUGAGGGAUGACGGCCUUCGGGUUGUAAACCUCUUUCAGCAGGGAAGAAGCGAGAGUGACGGUACCUGCAGAAGAAGCACCGGCUAACUACGUGCCAGCAGCCGCGGUAAUACGUAGGGUGCGAGCGUUGUCCGGAAUUAUUGGGCGUAAAGAGCUCGUAGGCGGCCUGUUGCGUCGGUUGUGAAAGCCCGGGGCUCAACCCCGGGUCUGCAGUCGAUACGGGCAGGCUAGAGUUCGGUAGGGGAGAUCGGAAUUCCUGGUGUAGCGGUGAAAUGCGCAGAUAUCAGGAGGAACACCGGUGGCGAAGGCGGAUCUCUGGGCCGAUACUGACGCUGAGGAGCGAAAGCGUGGGGAGCGAACAGGAUUAGAUACCCUGGUAGUCCACGCCGUAAACGGUGGGAACUAGGUGUGGGCGACAUUCCACGUCGUCCGCGCCGCAGCUAACGCAUUAAGUUCCCCGCCUGGGGA
rnacentral:rRNA from 1 species